rnacentral:rRNA from 1 species
GACGAACGCUGGCGGCGUGCUUAACACAUGCAAGUCGAACGGAAAGGCCCUGCUUUUGUGGGGUGCUCGAGUGGCGAACGGGUGAGUAACACGUGAGUAACCUGCCCUUGACUUUGGGAUAACUUCAGGAAACUGGGGCUAAUACCGGAUAGGAGCUCCUGCUGCAUGGUGGGGGUUGGAACGUUUCGGCGGUUGGGGAUGGACUCGCGGCUUAUCAGCUUGUUGGUGGGGUAGUGGCUUACCAAGGCUUUGACGGGUAGCCGGCCUGAGAAGGUGACCGGCCACAUUGGGACUGAGAUACGGCCCAGACGGCUACGGGAGGCAGCAGUGGGGAACAUGGCACAAUGGGCGGAAGCGGGAUGCAACAACGCCGCGUGCGGGAUGACGGCCUGCGGGUUGUAAACCGCUUACGCCUGUGACGAAGCGUGAGUGACGGUAAUGGGUAAAGAAGCACCGGCUAACUACGUG